AUAAAAUAUAAUUUUUUAUUAGUAGGUAUUGCAUACCGUUUAAGGAAAAUUUUAUAAAAAUAAAAUAUAGAAUUAAAAGGUAGAAUUUUUAUUAUUUUUAUUGUUUCAUAAUAAAAAUUAUAAAAUUUAGGGUUGAAAAGUCGACUUUUAAGAUAUCUGUUUAUAUUGUUAGUUUAUUAGAAAUUUGUAUAUAAAAAGAAAUUUGUAUAUAAAAAGUAAAAGUUGAAGUAUUUAUUUAUUUAGUUUUAUAACUGUUUAUAAUUAUUUAUUGGAAUUAUUGUUAAAAAGGAAUAAAAAUUAUUAAGUUGUUAAUAAUUAAAUUAUUUUAAAAUAAGUAUGUUAAUUAAAUUAUUUAUUAUUUUAUAAUUUAACAAAAUAAUUAAAAGUUUAUUCAAAUGUUUAUUAAAGACUUAGACUUUUAAAUAAAGUUUGCUUCUGCCCAAUGUUUAUUAUUAAAUGGCACUCUUAGCGU
rnacentral:rRNA from 1 species